ensembl:lncRNA
AAAAAGUCAAUAAUAAACCACAACACCAAUAUAAAGAUUUAAACUUUAGAUAAUCUCUCGUGUGAAUUUUCAUUUCAGAAAAAAGAGCUCCUCCCCGGCUGACCCGGGUCGACUUUCGAGUCAUACACGAGAGGUACCGCAGGCUCUGGGCGCUACAGCCCCCGCCGGGCGAAGGUGACCGGCGGGCGGUCAAGGCCCAUGUCCGGGUAUGUGUGGGAUGAGAAAAGAAGUUAUUACACCAUCAGUUUCAUUGUCCUGGGCAGCAAUGUUUGUUGGAAGUACUUGUGGGUUUUUUUUAAUGUGUUUUUUUCAGGAGGAGCUCGCAAAUGGGCGUGUCCCAGUAAGUAUUUCUCCAGGGUUUUUUUUUUUCCCCCCCAGCAAAAGUAAGUACCUAUGCAGUAGUAGCACCCAGAUUUUCAGCAUAAUGGUAUUUUGCAUUGCAUUGCUGUUUUGAUGCAGUUUUCUGUCUUCAUUUAUGUUGGAAGUGAUAAGUAGAGCCGUACGUUUUAAUUUUUUUCAGAAAUCUCUCAGACCGUGGUAUAUCAUGUUUAGGUGGAAACUAGUGAGCUAACUUCACGAAGCUCUUGACUACUUAAGUAUUCUUUUUAAGAUUCAAGAUUAAGAAUCUUGAAUCCUCACCCUUCUUGAGCUUCUCGAGUGAUGUUGCGAUCACUUGGUAUACAGUGGCUUGCAAAAGUAUUCGGCCCCCUUGAAC